UGGGUUAUAAUUUAUGUAAAAUAUUUUAAUUGCAAUAAAAAAAAGUUUAAAAUUAACUAACCUGA
rnacentral:tRNA from 1 species